rnacentral:lncRNA from 1 species
GCGGGCGCGAGCUGCGGGCGCGCGUCACGUGCUGCUGCGGCCGUUGGCCAGCCCCUCCCCCCUCCGUCUCUUUAAGGCAACCCACGAGGCCUCAAGGGGUGGGGGGACCAUCUUUUUCUCAUGGUCCACGUAGCCCCACUUCCCCCGCAAGUUCAGAGCCCGCCUCAUGUAAACCCGAGGGCCCCCUCCCGGGCAAGACAGAGAGAGCUGGAGGAGGCUAGCUGGGGUUGGACGGGCUUUUCCUCCUCUUCCCGCCUCCCCUCUCCACCCCUCCCAACAAUGGAGGGGCUUCUCUGGCUCUGGUUUGGUCUUGGGGUAGUGGGUACCCACCUGCAGAUCUACACAGAGCCCUCCUCCCGGGCAGCCAUCGGUUCUCCUUCGCUACUCAAGUGCCGCUUCAGCAUAGGGGAUGUCAUCGAGCUGAACUCGCUCCGCGUAAACUGGGUGGCCCCGGGGGGUUACACCGUGACCCAGUUCCCCCCGGGGCCGAAGGAAAACGAGGAGGGUCCCGGGGGAUCCUCGGCGUUAGGUGCCAUCUCCGAGGAGGAGCUGCAUUUGGGCAAUGCUUCGCUGAUCCUGAGGGUGCGGCCGGGAGACGAGGGGCCUUACACCUGCACCGUGGGCUACCGGAACGAGGAGCGGCACAGCGAGACCCUCGUCAGUGUCUUCGCUGCGCCCCACCUCUCAUUACCUUCAGUCCAAGGCUCUCUGGAGGAGAAGAUUCUCCUCCUGUGCCAGGUCCUCGGUUUCUACCCAGCGGAGGGCCUGCGGGCCCAGUGGCUGCGGGAUGAGCAGGAGCUCCCCGGAGCUCUUAUUGAGCGCCCCCGGCUUAACUCGAAUGGGACCUUCGACUUGAAGCUGACUCUUCCCUUGACCCUACAAUCCCGGGACCUGGGAGCCUCCUUUGUCUGCCGCGUGGACCAUCCUGCCCUGGAACAGCCCUUGCACCAGACUUUGCAAAUAAAGAUUCAAAAAGCAGGAGAAUGGCAGCGAGCUAAUCAGAACCCCAGUGGAACUUCUUUCGGCAUUAUCUUAAUCAUCCUCCUGGCCAUCACUCUACUAGCCAUAGCCGUAACCCACAGGUGGAGCAGAUGGAGAGAAAGGGGAGCGUCUCAAUUUCAGCUACCUCCAUUCCCAUCUCUGGACUUAGAGGUGGAGCAGAGAGAGACCCGGACGGCUGCAGAUGGGCAGGAUAGAGAGCAGCCUCUGACAAAAAUCGGGCCCCAGUUAUCUGGGAGAGCUUGGAAGAUGGAAGGACAGUUCCCAAAGGGAGAAGAAGAAUCUGAGGGAAAACCCCCGAGCGAGGAAAGAUUCAGGAGUAAUGAAGGACAGAUUGUGGGAGAAGACAGAGAGACUGAGGAACAGACUUCAGGGUGGGCCGGGCCUGAGGGACAGGAGGUGGGAGGAGAAUCCGUACAGGUGAUAGGUAACCACGGAGGAGAGCUCAAGGAUCAGGCAAUGGAGAGUAAUAGGAAAGGGACUGAAGGGCAGGGAGUGGGAGAGGGUGAAGGAGAUAAUGAGGGCCUGGCAAAGAGGGACAGUAAAGGAGGGUUAGAGGGACAGAUCACGCUGGAUAGUGGAAGUGAGACCGAGGGGCAGUUAAUGGGGGAGAAUGAAGGACCAGUGAUGGGGUGUAGUGGAGAGCGAGUGGAGGGACAGAUAACGGGAGGGGACAGAGAAGGGGACGGGGGUGGCACUGUGGAGCCUCUAGUGGGGUGUGAUCGAAGAGAUGACGGGGCACUUGAACUAGGGGAUAACAGAGGACAAAUGAAGCAUCAGAGAGCGGGAAAGGCUGGAGGAAUUGAGGGACGGGGAUUGGGGGAGGACGGAGAAGGGAAUGAGGGACCUAUAGGUGGAAGUGGAGGAGCUAUGCAACGGGCAGUGGGUGAGGAGGGAGAUGAGGGGCAGGUCUCGGGAGAGAAUGAAGGAGGGUGCAAGGAAGAGGUAGUGCGGGAGCCUGAAAGAGUCACUCUGGAACAGGAAGUUGGAGAGUCUGAGGGACAAGUGGAGAGAGAAAUGGAGGGACACAUCCUGAAGCAGGAUGGAGGAGGGACUGAAGAACAGAACGCAAAGGGAUCUGGGGAAGAGGAGGCACAGUCCACCAGUGCAGAAGGGAGGCUGGGGUAAUAUGAAGAGAAAGAGGAACAAGAAGGGAUAGAACAACUGAGGCAUAGCCCUUAAGGGAAGGGAGCGGGGGGCACCUCAGGGAACUGCUCACGGGAGAAAACGAAAGGGGAUUUCCCUCACGGGGGAAAAAGCUCCCCCUGACAUUGAAGGAAAUGGGAAAGAGGGGAAAUUAAAGAGGCCAUAAAUCAACCACUGUGAGAAGAUGGAGGUAAAGGGAAUUGGAGAGAUGGGCCAGAGGCCUUUCCUUCUAGCUGGCUACAAGUUUUAGAUGAAAAAAUAAACCUGAAUAGGUCUUGGCAUUGACAUUGCUUCUUGGUGUUGGGACGAGUCAUCACAGGGAGCCGUUUGGGGGGAUUUGGUAAAGAGACAGGUGCUAGAUUGGGGAGAAAUUGAGUGGGGGGUCCUCAUAAUUAAGCCAUUUACAAUCAGCCAGUCGAUCAAGCCUCUUUAUUAACCGCCUUGUACACUGCACUGUGCCCUUGGAAAAAUCCAGUAGAAUGACUAGACAUGAUCCCUACUCUCAGAUUUUACAUACUGUUUAAAUUUACAAGUUUUUUGUGGGUCUUUUUCUUCGACAGAGACCCCCGCCCCGAGGGCCAGGAACCACGUCCGAUUCCCCUCCCUGCAUUUUUUGCCAAACGCUCAAUACAGUCUUCUGCACACCGUAAGCGCAUGAUAAGGACCGUGUCUACUACGGCCUAGUACUAAGGGGAGUCAAGUAAAUAGAACUGUCAAUCCCUCCCAGCAAUAGCGCGUUAUGGAGAGGCGAGAAGGGGGGACCUGAGGGAAUCAGCGAGCGCAGCCCUCAGACCGGAAGUGCAAAAAUGGGAGGCUAGAGAGGCCUGGCGUUAGGGGGGGAGCUGCCAUAGAGAAGAGGGGAGCAGAGAGCCGGCGGAAGUCGCAACCAUAGAGAAUUGCCUGGCUAGAGCGCCCCUGAGGGCUGCCGGGAAAGGAGCUACUGGCCUAAGCAUGAAAAG